rnacentral:lncRNA from 1 species
AGAGCAGGACUGAGCAGUCAGAAAGAAAAUGUAAAAAGAUUUCUGUUUAGAUUUGUGUUCGGACUGCAAGUUAAUUCUUCUAAUGGCCCUCCAUUGGCCCAUAACACAAGUCUGGAUGAUCUUAAUUCCAGUUCCCAAGGACAGAGUGUCCUGUGGCACGACUCUGCUGUACAUGCCGUUGUGAAAUCCACGGAUGAUGGGAAGGAAGCCACCGUGCAGCUGUCCCUAGGAGCAUCAACAAGCAGUGUGGUGCAGGGCACCUGUAUGCACAGGGUAGAUACACAUUCUUGCAAAGCAUUCAGCAACCCUGAGGGGUGGAACAACUCGGCAGGAUAUCUGCAUUGCAACCGGAAUAUUGUUCCUGCUGGGAGAGGACCUGAGGGAGUAUUUUUACUUUUCAGCAGCUCCUGCUGUGCCUCGGCGUGCACAGUCCACCUGGACUAA